rnacentral:rRNA from 1 species
UACAGAGGGUGCAAGCGUUAAUCGGAAUUACUGGGCGUAAAGCGUGCGUAGUCGGUUAUUUAAGUCGGAUGUGAAAGCCCCGGGCUCAACCUGGGAAUUGCAUUCGAGACUGAAUAGCUAGGGUACGGUAGAGGGAAGCGGAAUUUCCGGUGUAGCGGUGAAAUGCGUAGAUAUCGGAAGGAACAUCAGUGGCGAAAGCGGCUUCCUGGACCAGUACCGACGUUCAGGCACGAAAGCGUGGGGAGCAAACAGG